ACCGAACAGUUCAAAUUAGGAAUUGUUUAUCAACCCUCAACAAAGGACACGACAAAAAAAACUUAUAAGUACCUAACUCGAAUGGCUUUGAAACAUCGUUAAUUUCAUCACAUUUUGACGUUUUGCCGGGCGCUUUCCAAUUUGAAGACUUUGUAUUUUAUUGUAUACUUUUUUUAAGGGAGCUGUGGCAAAACGCGAUGACUACCAACAGAGCUUUUGAAAUGAAGAGGUUGCAAUGAUUAUGGUAAUUUCGGUCAGUCGGCAAACACAGAGCCAUAAUAAUAAAAUUUAUACAUGUGCACUGUAAUGUCAAUACAACUAGAAAUAUUUUAAUGUUUCGUUGUGUUUCAUUAGCAUCCUCUUUAUAGAGGCGGCUACUUAAAUACCUGUAAAGGCUGUCUAUAGUAUUAGUUGCGUAGUUAUAAGCGGUGGCAUCAUGGGUGCGAUUUCAUUUCGUUUUAUUUGAAGUCCCGACCACGGGGAGCAGCAGACUGUAACGAGCGUUUCCGACGUUUCAAAUACUUUUGCAAUGAGUAUUAACGCUCUGUUUCACUCUCAACUGCAUUUCAUACAAUGAUAGCAAACAUUUGCU